GUUGGGCAUAGUGGAAUAUGCCUGUAAUCCUGCAACUUGGGAGGCUGAGAGGGGAGGAUCACUAGUUCAAAGCCAAACUUAGUGAGGCCCUAGGCAACUUAGUGAGACCCUGUCUCAA
rnacentral:sRNA from 1 species